GUAACUCAACAAGGAGACUGCGCAAGCGCAAAGGCGUGCCUGGGACGAGAGUUGCGCGCGCAGCCGCGCCGCUCUCGUGGGGAUCGCCGGUGGGCAGCGAAGUGCGCUGGGACGGCCAGGACCCAGUUUGCCGGGUACUUGAGGACGCCCAUCGUAUCCUCGCCGUCGUUGCUUAGGAGAGCGGCCCGGAUGGGUUUCGAGGGCUUAGGCCAGCUAAGGUGAAGGAGGCGCGAGAAGCUGGAGUCAGUCGGGGGCAGCACCGGCGCGGCCGGACGCGGCGGGGCGGGGUUCGGAGCGGCGGCUUUGAGCAGGGCUAGCGCGGGGAUUGGUUGGAGUCGGUGUCGGGACUGAGCCGAUGAGAGCCGAGUGGGUGCAACGCGCGGGUUUGUUCUGAGAAGCCCCAUACCCAGUGUCUUUCUUGAGUCCAGUGGAGAAACUGAGGCUCAGAGAGGCGUGGGGGUUCGUCCUUGGUUGUCCACUGAUCUUAUCUUGCUCUUGGAUUAGGGACUCUGGCUGAAUUGAAUGAUAUGGGACCAGCUCACUUUCCAAGGUAAUUAGUAAAUGGCUAGUAAUAAAUCUAUGGUUGUUAUUGUUUGAUGAGUAAUACAGUUUCCAAUCACUUAUUAAUUGCGAAGUGUACUAAAGUCGAGGGUAAGAGUUAGGAUUCCAAGUUUAUAAACGACAGUCUUACAAAGUAUUAAAAUCUGUAACGUGUUGAACGCUUAGUAUGAGCCAUAGGUAAUGCUGAAACACAGGGGCUUAACUUUUAACUCUAAUAAUUACUAAAAUUAUUAAUUAUACUGAAAGUUAACCUUUAUGCAUCCUAGCUCUAAACAUUUCACGUGUAUUUAAUCCUCAGCCUCCCAGUGGGGUCCCUGUUUUGUUACGGCUAUGUUACGUGUGAGGCAGCUGAGACUCACAGCGGUGAUGGCGCUGCCCAGUCUCACCAGCUGGUUGGUAAGGUACAGAACAGUCUUCCCCUUUAGCAUAGUGGCUAGGGGGCCGGUGCCUGACUCCUCAGGUUCAAGUCGUGGCUCUAGCACUUCCACACUGAAAAACAGGGCAACAUAGGCAAGUUUCCUUAACCUCAGUGACCCUCGGCUUCUGCAUCUAUAAAAUGGAAAUGACAGCGGCACCUGUCUCAUACUGCAGCUCUGAGGCUAAUUUGUGGAAAGCCCCUGGCACAUAGGUGAAAAGACAGAAGCUGCAGGGCAAGAACACAGACAAGAUGGAGAACAGGUGCUGGGUCCUGAGUCAAGUCUGUCCAUCAAGAGGAUGAAGGAAAUGGGUCUCAACUGGUGAUCUCCCUAGAACUGGCCUCACAAGAAACAGAGCCUAUUUCCAGGAGGGUUAAGACAGGAGCUGGACGAUCACAUGGAUUCCACAGGGAUGGGGAGCCUCUCAGUGGAGGCUCUCCGCCCACCCUCCAUCACCCUUAUCAGCUAAGGCCCACUUCCCAGAGAAGUUUACUGUUCAAGGGGGAAAGAGAUAGAAACAGUAACACAAUACAGUUGUUACCACCA